UGAGCAACCUGCCCUUGACUCCGGAAUAACAGCUGGAAACAGCUGCUAAUACCGGAUAUGACCUCCGAUGGCAUCAUCUGGAGGUGGAAAGCUCCGGCGGUCAAGGAUGGGCUCGCGGCCUAUCAGCUUGUUGGUGAGGUAACGGCUCACCAAGGCUUCGACGGGUAGCCGGCCUGAGAGGGCGACCGGCCACACUGGGACUGAGACACGGCCCAGACCUCUACGGGAGG
rnacentral:rRNA from 1 species